UAUUUGUUUAAAAGAUUUCAAAAGUUUAAUUGUAGAUUUUCCAUCUGUCAACUCCGACAGGAAGUCCGAAAUUCAACAGCGUUGGACGAAAUCAAAUGUUAUAAGUAGGACUGUAAACCGCCAUUCGAAGCAUGUGAAGCUCCCCCACCUGGUUUGAUUGCUGCCAGCCAGUUUGGAAUUUGUUUCGGAACCCUCAUCGCCACCUGAAGUUGCAGAUUUCCUGAUGAAAUAUAUCUGUUGUGUAUUUUACAGUAUCUUCAUUGACAAAUAAACAAUUUUUAAAAUUA